GACGAACGCUGGCGGCGUGCUUAACACAUGCAAGUCGAACGGUAAGGCUCUGACAUUGCGGGGUGCUCGAGUGGCGAACGGGUGUGUCACACGUGAGUAAACUGACCCUGACUUUAGGAUCCCUUCAGGUAAGUGGGGCUACUACCGGCUAGGAGCUCUUGCUGCUAGGAGGGUGAUGGCAAGUGUCGGAGGUAGGGGAUCGGCUCGCGGCUUAUCAGCUUGUUGGUGGGGUAGUGGCUUACCAAGGCUUUGACGGGUAGCAGGCCUGAGAGGGUGGCCGGCCACAUUGGGACUGAGAUACGGCCCAGACUCCUACGGUACGCAGGAGUGGGGAGUAUUACACAACGGGCGGAAGCCUAAUGCAACGACGCCACGUGCGGGAUGACGGGCUUCGGGUUGAGAACCACUGUCGCCUGAUACGAGGCGAUUGUGACGGUAAUGGAUAAAAAAGCCCCGGCUAACUACGUG
rnacentral:rRNA from 1 species